rnacentral:misc_RNA from 1 species
AUAUAUAUAUAUAUAUAUAUGAAUAAAGCUGGAAAGAAACAAAGAGGGAGAUGGAGAAGGAGCAUCUUAGUUGUUUGGAGACAUUGUUGGACUUUCUAAUGUAUAAAAAGGAGUGCAGUUUGUAUGAAAAAUACGUAUCUAUCUAUCUAUAACUCACUAAACCCAUUGUGAUUUAUAAGUUGCUCCAUGGAAUUUUGUAAGAAGUCUUAAAAAAUGUAGUUCUUACUCCAAAAUGAAUGUUUGUGAAACGUAUAACACUCUGAAGACUACUGCCAUUUGAU